UACGUAGGGUGCGAGCGUUGUCCGGAAUUAUUGGGCGUAAAGAGCUCGUAGGCGGUCUGUUGCGUCGGCUGUGAAAACCCGGGGCUCAACUCCGGGCCUGCAGUCGAUACGGGCAGACUAGAGUUCGGUAGGGGAGACUGGAAUUCCUGGUGUAGCGGUGAAAUGCGCAGAUAUCAGGAGGAACACCGGUGGCGUAGGCGGGUCUCUGGGCCGAAACUGACGCUGAGGAGCGAAAGCGUGGGGAGCGAACAGG
rnacentral:rRNA from 1 species